rnacentral:misc_RNA from 1 species
UACGGAGGGUGCAAGCAUUGAUCGGAAUUACUGGGCGUAAAGGGCGCGUAGGCGGCCGGAUAAGUCAGAUGUGAAAUUCCACAGCUCAACUGUGGAGCUGCAUUUGAAACUGUCCAGCUCGAGCAUAGUUAGGGAAAACGGAAUUCCACAUGUAGCGGUGAAAUGCGUAGAUAUGUGGAGGAACACCGGUGGUGAAGACGGUUUUCUGGGCUAUUGCUGACGCUGAGGCGCGAAAGCUAGGGGAGCAAACAGG